rnacentral:rRNA from 1 species
ACGCUCGACACCUACGGGGAGGCAGCAGUAGGGAAUCUUCCACAAUGGGCGCAAGCCUGAUGGAGCAACACCGCGUGAGUGAAGAAGGGUUUCGGCUCGUAAAGCUCUGUUGUUGGAGAAGAACGUGCGUGAGAGUAACUGUUCACGCAGUGACGGUAUCCAACCAGAAAGUCACGGCUAACUACGUGCCAGUAGCCGCGGUAAUCUGAGCGGGCUGGCAAGGC